AGACACACGGCGGGUGCUAACGUCCGUCGUGAAGAGGGAAACAACCCAGACCGCCGGCUAAGGUCCCAAAGUUCUGGUUAAGUGGGAAACGAUGUGGGAAGGCUCAGACAGCUAGGAUGUUGGCUUAGAAGCAGCCAUCAUUUAAAGAAAGCGUAAUAGCUCACUAGUCGAGUCGGCCUGCGCGGAAGAUGUAACGGGGCUCAAACCAGGCACCGAAGCCGCGGAUUCACGCUAAGCGUGAGUGGUAGGGGAGCGUUCUGUAAGUCUGCGAAGGUGUAUCGAGAGGUAUGCUGGAGAUAUCAGAAGUGCGAAUGCUGACGUAAGUAACGAUAAAGGGGGUGAAAAGCCUCCUCGCCGGAAGACCAAGGGUUCCUGUCCAACGUUAAUCGGGG
rnacentral:rRNA from 1 species